rnacentral:rRNA from 1 species
AUUGAACGCUGGCGGCAGGCCUAACACAUGCAAGUCGAGCGAGCGGCGGACGGGUGAGUAAUGUCUGGGAAACUGCCUGAUGGAGGGGGAUAACUACUGGAAACGGUAGCUAAUACCGCAUACCAUCAGAUGUGCCAAGAUGGGAUUAUCUAGUAGGUGGGGUAACGGCUCACCUAGGCGACGAUCCAUAGCUGGUCUGAGAGGAUGACCAGCCACACUGGAACUGCGAAACGGUCCAUCCUCCUACGUGAGGCAGCAGUGGGGAAUAUUGCACAAUGGUCGCAAUCCUGAUGCAGCCAUGCCUCGUGUGUGAAGAAGGCCUUCGGUUUGUAAAGCACUUUCAGCGGGGAGGCGUUACCCGCAGAAGAAGCACCGGCUAACUCCGUGCCAGCAGCCGCGGUAAUAC